UAAAUUUAUAUUUUAACCCAAACUUAUAAUAUCCCGCCGGGAAAAAACCUCUGAAGGAUCCUUAAAUGCCGAAAGAGCCCCUGUAACUUUGCGAAAAAAACCCACCCAUACUGCGCGAACCAAACAUUAGUUCAGGGUUAUUAUCGUCAUGUUAAAGUUUCGAGACACAUCAUUCCCGCCAUCGAAUUUUUGCAGGUCAUACAGAUUCCGGGAAUGGCGGUAAGAGAAAUCCGGCGGGGCUAUCCGUCUGGGAUUUCCGAUGGGACGAGUGAAGAUGAUGAUGAAGAUCGAUAAGGACAUCGAUGUCGCCGCUGAGAAGAAACGGAAGAUCGUGAAGCUUGAACACAUCGGAAUCAUCGUCAAGAGGCAUCGGCUGAUGAGUGAUUUUCUCCUCGAUUCGCUUCCUCUUCCAUCUCAGCCGUAGGAUGCUCCGGCGAAGGAUGAGAAUCGCACUUGCACUGUCGUCGGUGAACCGCUUCCUGAAAGAACCCGUCGAAUCGAUGAUUUCUUUCGCCGGCCAGCAAAGACCACGUCAUAGGCGAUCAGUUUUCAUCCUAUAAAAGUCGUGUAGUGAACUCUAAGGAGAUAUGGGGCCAGAAAAUGUGGAUACCACUGAAGCUGUUUCAUCUCUGAUCUGAGAAACAAG